CCUUGGGUCCCCAGAUGUUUUUGGCCUACAACUCCCAUCAUCCCUGACCACUGGUCCUGUGAGCUAGGGAUCAUGGGAGUUGUAGUCCAAAAACAUCUGGGGACCCAAGG
rnacentral:miRNA from 1 species